rnacentral:rRNA from 1 species
CUAAGAAUAUUCCGCAAUGGACGGAAGUCUGACGGAGCGACGCCGCGUGGAUGAAGAAGGCCGAAAGGUUGUAAAGUUCUUUUGCUGGGGAAGAAUAACCGCAGGAGGGAAUGCCUGUGGGAUGACAAGAACCGGCGAAUAAGCCCCGGCCAACUACGUGCCAGCAGCCGCGGUAACACGUAGGGGGCGAGCGUUGUUCGGAAUUACUGGGCGUAAAGGGCAUGUAGGCGGCUUGGAAAGCCUGGCGUGAAAGUCUGCAGCUUAACUGCAGGGGUGCGCUGGGAACUGCUGAGCUUGAGUGACGGAGAGGGAGCUGGAAUUCCUGGUGUAGGGGUGAAAUCUGUAGAUAUCAGGAAGAACACCGAUGGCGAAGGCAAGCUCCUGGCCGAUGACUGACGCUGAGGUGCGAAAGUGUGGGGACCAAACAGGAUUAGAUACCCUGGUAGUCCACACAGUCAACGAUGUGCACUAGGUGCUGGGGCGGUAGCUUCGGUGCCGGAGCGAACGUGGUAAGUGCACCGCCUGGGGAGUAUGCUCGCAAGGGUGAAACUCAAAGGAAUUGACGGGGGUCAUANCU